GAACGCUCACCGGGGUUUCGGCUCUGGAGGGAGUGGCGCACGGGUGAGUAGCGCGUGGGAACCUGCCCUUUUGUGGGGGAUAACCGAGGGAAACUUCGGCUAAUACCGCAUAAUGCCUUCGGGUUAAAGGAGCAAUUCGCUUGAAGAGGGGGUCGCGGCUGAUUAGCUAGUUGGCGGGGUAACGGCCCACCAAGGCGAUGAUCGGUAGCCGGCCUGAGAGGGCGCACGGCCACACUGGAACUGAAACACGGUCCAGACUCCUACGGGAGGCAGCAGUGGGGAAUUUUGCGCAAUGGGGGAAACCCUGACGCAGCAACGCCGCGUGGAGGAUGAAGUCCUUUGGGACGUAAACUCCUUUCGACCGGGACGAUUAUGACGGUACCGGUGGAAGAAGCCCCGGCUAACUUCGUG
rnacentral:rRNA from 1 species